GAUUUAUAAAGAAGAGGCGAGAGAUCAGGCUCUGUGAACCUCUGGCAACCUUCCAACCAAGGAAAGGUGCCAAUACCUGCCCAAUAAAGGGAACGAUAAAUU
rnacentral:ncRNA from 2 species